UGAAACCACAAACCUGCCAAUAGCAGAAUCUUUAGAGAAAUGACGCGAAACUCCUGCCUUAAAGCCCUAAAUGGCGGCUUCAAUAUCAGUCCCACUGAGCAUGAAAUUCAUUUACUUAAAUAAAAUCUGAAUCUCAGCCCAAACCUGGGAGAUUCAAAACCUGAGAGCGGUCUUACCAAAGACGCCCGUAUGUCUGGUGAAGUCAGUUGGAUGCAAGCAGUUUGUGCUGGUACCAGGGCCCCAGCUACUGAUGAAGUGGCAGGAGUCCACAGAAGCCUACUUCGAAGUUCCCGGGGCUUCCAGGGGAGAUUGACGAGAUUCCUGGGGAGGCGAUUCAUGACAGCUGAGUUCCUUUUGGAGGAUCCGUCUUCAGGCAGUCUGAUCCCCCAGGAAAGCAGCUGGAAAACAAGAGCAUGUGAAGGAAGCGCAGCAGCUCCUCGCCAGCCAGACAGCCAGCCCCGCACCGCAGGAGUCGACAUGCACGGCAGCCUAGACGCCAUCAGUUAAACUUAUAUGUAGGCUUGUUGAGGAAAACGACUUUCAAACACAAGGCAAAAGAAAAACAUGAAACCAAGGGUUCCAACAUUCAUCAUCCAGUUUCAGAGACACCCUUGAAGGAAUGCUACAGCCUCUUUCUUACCCAUUCAAACCAGUCGCUCUGCUGCAUACCCACAUCACAGGAGGCCCUCAGCCCCGACACACAGGCUCACUCAGCCCGGGGACAUCAGCACCUGUGCCAGCUCCGCAAGGUAUCCACCAUGCGGCCAGAACUGAGGCCCAGCAAUAGCUGAAAUGUCCUUUAAAUUAACAUGUACAACACACAACCCCCAAGAGCUGACAUCCCCAAAGCCCCACCACAAAUAGCUGACUCCUACUUAUACCUGCAGGAGCAGGUAGUGACCUCUGCAAUUCUAAACCGUCCACUUUGGGCAAAAUUCAUCAAGCUAUGGAUAUGAAAAAAGGCCCCCAAGGAUAUGAUUCAUAGUCCAGCGUUUGAGUGAGCACUCCAGUCAGAACGAACUCUGCAUUGUGAACAUCUGAACAGGGUGGAAACAGACACUUUAGUUAGAGAUCCACUGCUGUGCGUGCACACAUACUCACACAGGUAAGCGGGGAAACGUACCUAUGCCUCUGGCAAAAUAUUCUCGGCAUAAAUGAAGGUCAUUUUCACAGGAUAUUAAAAUUAUUUCCGACAAACUCUAAGGAAAAGAAAAUGAGUUUCUCAGUGACCGAACGCUGAAUGUGAUACAGGGCAAUGACGGACUCGCUGGCGGACUCCACUCUACCCACCGAGUUCUGCUUGUGCUCCAUGAGCUUCCGGAAAGAUGGCUGCUUGGAUAACACCUUUCCUCCUGCACACUCUACGAUUGCCUUCAUAGUGGAAAGACUUGGGCAGAUUCCAGGUGUGAUGUAAAAAUAUUUUGCCUAAAAUUAAAUGAAAAUAUAUGUAUUAUGUUCUUAAAAUGCUUUAAUUUUUAGAGUACAUAAUUCUCAUAGAUUCUGCCCUGAGAUUUUUGACAAAAUUUCAAAUUUUAUGACAUUAUGAAGGUACUAUUCUCCUACUAGCACUCAAUCUGAAGUGGAAGAGGAAUCCAGCUAUGUAAAUUUGGAAUGUAAGCAUUUUCACAUGUUAAGUAUGCCUGAAGAUGAUUUAAAGUAACCAGAACUUAAGUCCCUAAAACAAAGUGUUUUGUGAAUAAGCAAGAAUAUUACAAAUAUUUUUCACAAUUUCUAUACAAUUUUAAAUCAGCAUUAUAUUUCACCACACUUAUCUGCCCAGCAACAGCCUCUGGCAUAGCAUGCUGCCUGGCUUAUAUCCCUUUUCUUUAUUUUCUCCAUAUUAUUUGAACUCAGAGCAGGAAAUGAUAUUGAUGCUUAAGAUUUAAUUAUCUAACAAGAUUGCUCCUGAGGAUACCACAAAAUACUAUUCUGUCUGAAACUGCAAAUAAUUUCUAAUUCCUGUUGACUCCUUAAGAAGGUUAAAGAACCGAUUAUCUUUAUUGAUUUACUUAGUUCUUUGGUACAAAAAAAAUUCCUAGCUGUUCUAACACUUAUCUAACAUUUAAAAAUCUUUUAGUACUGAAUUAUAUCUAUGCACACACUGAAUAUUUUCCCAAGUAUCUUCUCCAGCUGAAUAUACAUUUACUGAC
ensembl:lncRNA PAXIP1-AS2 PAXIP1 antisense RNA 2